ACUCACGCAGGCUCUAAAAUUGGCAGAAG
rnacentral:piRNA from 1 species